GCCGAAGUGGCGGAAUUGGUAGACGCGUUGGUCUCAAAAACCAAUAGGCUUUGCCUGUACCGGUUCGAUUCCGGUCUUCGGCA
rnacentral:tRNA from 1 species